rnacentral:rRNA from 1 species
AUUGAACGCUGGCGGCAGGCCUAACACAUGCAAGUCGAGCGGGGUUUUCGGACCUAGCGGCGGACGGGUGAGUAAUGCGUAGGAAGCUACCCGAUAGAGGGGGAUACCAGGUGGAAACGAUUGUUAAUACCGCAUAAUGUCUACGGACCAAAGUGUGGGACCGUCGGGCCACGUGCUAUCGGAUGCGCACACGUGGGAUUAGCUAGUUGGUGAGGUAAUGGCUCACAAAGGCGACGAUCCCUAGCUGGUUUGAGAGGAUGAUCAGCCACACUGGAACUGAGACACGGUCCAGACUCCUACGGGAGGCAGCAGUGGGGAAUAUUGGACAAUGGGCGCAAGCCUGAUCCAGCAUGCCGCGUGUGUGAAGAAGGCCUUCGGGUUGUAAAGCACUUUCAGUAGGGAGGAAGCGUUGUGUGUUAAUAGUACACAGCGUUGACGUUACCUACAGAAGAAGCACCGGCUAACUCUGUGCCAGCAGCCGCGGUAACAC